GGGAAGACAACUAUGAAGCAGAACUGUGUGCAAAGAAGAGGGAAAGCUUACUAUGUCGGGGUUUCAGGACACUUCGAUUUACCCACAAAUAGUCUUGUUGAUUGCCAUAACUAACGCCGUGUUUCUGGUCUCGGGUUUUGCUUCUUCCUGUUGGCAAUUUUUACAAUCAAAUGAAACUUAUGUAAGUUAUGGGCUGUGGUUCCGGUGUACGGAAUCCACAAAUAGAACGCUAGAUUGUCUGAUUUACGGCAACAUCGAUGGACAAGGGUCAAGCUAUUCAGACAAUCUCAGGACUUCCCGUGCACUGGAAUCAACAGGCUACAUUUGCUUAUGCCUGUGUUGCGCAUUCAAUUUUGUCUAUAUCUGCUCAACCACAUUCAAGCACAAAGCCUUUGCCAUUUUCUUGACCAUCCUUUCCUACACUACAGUUGGAACGAUGUUUGCUGGCAUUGUCCUGUACGGGACCAGGCUGGUGUUACCUAACUUUACCUUAGGCUGGUCUUUCGCCCUAACAGCCCUGGCCUCAAUCUUCUGCAUUCCAACUGCUGUCCUCCAGACCAUGGAAAUAUUUCACAAAUAUGCAAGUUAGGAAUUUAAUUCUGAGCUUAAAUUUUCAGUUUUGACAAAAUUUCAAAAUUGGGAUUGAACACAUUUGUACUGAAAGGCAUGACUUAACAAAGAUUUAGGUAAGAACCUGUGCCAAAGCCUAUUUUAUUUCAGGGGGUUGUCUUCCUGGUAAUAACUCAUGUGAAAAGAAAGCCAUGGAAAUUCAGUCAACUCAGUCAGAUAGUCAGUUGUUAAAGAAGAAAAUUAUUAUUCAUUGACCUGUUGAUCGGUGCUAUUUAUAUGAACUAGUUUAUAUUUGGUGAUAUAACACAGAAGUUAUUGCUCAUGUUUACUGUUGUUAAAAAACGUUUUUGUUCAGAUUAUGUUAAGUUGAAUAAAGUUCCCCGAAUAA